rnacentral:rRNA from 1 species
GACGAACGCUGGCGGCGUGCCUAAUACAUGCAAGUAGAACGCUGAAGAGAGGAGCUUGCUCUUCUUGGAAGAGUUGCGAACGGGUGAGUAACGCGUAGGUAACCUGCCUUGUAGCGGGGGAUAACUAUUGGAAACGAUAGCUAAUACCGCAUAACAAUGGGUGACCCAUGUCAUUCAUUUGAAAGGGGCAACUGCUCCACUACAAGAUGGACCUGCGUUGUAUUGGCUAGUAGGUGAGGUAACGGCUCACCUAGGCGACGAUACAUAGCCGACCUGAGAGGGUGAUCGGCCACACUGGGACUGAGACACGGCCCAGACUCCUACGGGAGGCAGCAGUAGGGAAUCUUCGGCAAUGGGGGCAACCCUGACCGAGCAACGCCGCGUGAGUGAAGAAGGUUUUCGGAUCGUAAAGCUCUGUUGUAAGUCAAGAACGAGUGUGAGAGUGGAAAGUUCACACUGUGACGGUAGCUUACCAGAAAGGGACGGCUAACUACGUGCCAGCAGCCGCGGUAAUACGUAGGUCCCGAGCGUUGUCCGGAUUUAUUGGGCGUAAAGCGAGCGCAGGCGGUUUGAUAAGUCUGAAGUUAAAGGCUGUGGCUCAACCAUAGUUCGCUUUGGAAACUGUCAAACUUGAGUGCAGAAGGGGAGAGUGGAAUUCCAUGUGUAGCGGUGAAAUGCGUAGAUAUAUGGAGGAACACCGGUGGCGAAAGCGGCUCUCUGGUCUGUAACUGACGCUGAGGCUCGAAAGCGUGGGGAGCGAACAGG